UUUGUGGUGUUACUCUGAGUGUAUAUCCACACCGGGCGAGCUUGAAAAACAUGCCCGGCCACGGUGGGAUUCGAACCUACGACCUUUGGAAUACUAGCCCAAUGCUCUUCCAACUGAGCCACGCGGUCAGGACGGUUCGAGGAAGUGAUAUUUCGGAACAGAAUCUAGUUCCUUCGAUACCAAUGUAUUCUAGUAAUAUGAAUUUUUUUCUGUGUUGGUGUAGUGUACUCAGGUGAAUAUGAUAUUUGUGGUGUUACUCUGAGUAUAUAUCCACACCGGGCGAGCUUGAAAAAUAUGCCCGGCCACGGUGGGAUUCGAACCUACGACCUUUGGAAUACUAGCCCAAUGCUCUUCCAACUGAGCUACGCGGUCAGGACGGUUCGAGUAAGUGAUAUUUCGGAACAGUAUCUAGUUCCUUCUAUACCAACGUGUUCUUACUAAUAUGAAUUUUUCUGCGCUGGUGCUGUGCACUCAGGUGAAUAAUAUGUUUGCGAUGUUACUCUGAGUGCAUAUCCACACCGGGCGAGCCCGAAAAACACGCCCGGCCACGGUGGGAUUCGAACCUACGACCUUUGGAAUACUAGCCCAAUGCUCUUCCAACUGAGCUACGCGGUCAGGACGGUUCGAGUAAGUGAUAUUUCGGAACAGAAUCUAGUUCCUUCGAUACCAAUGUAUUCUAGUAAUAUGAAUUUUUUCUGUAUUGGUGUAGUGUACUCAGGUGAAUAUGAUAUUUGUGGUGUUACUCUGAGUGUAUAUCCACACCGGGCGAGCUUGAAAAAUAUGCCCGGCCACGGUGGGAUUCGAACCUACGACCUUUGGAAUACUAGCCCAAUGCUCUUCCAACUGAGCUACGCGGUCAGGACGGUUCGAGUAUUCCAAAGGUCGUAGGUUCGAAUCCCACCGUGGCCGGGCAUAUUUUUCAAGCUCGCCCGGUGUGGAUAUACACUCAGAGUAACACCACAAAUAUCAUAUUCACCUGAGUACACUACACCAACACAGAAAAAAUUCAUAUUACUAGAAUACAUUGGUAUCGAAGGAACUAGAUUCUGUUCCGAAAUAUCACUUACUCGAACCGUCCUGACGGCGUAGCUCAGUUGGAAGAGCAUUGGGCUAGUAUUCCAAAGGUCGUAGGUUCGAAUCCCACCGUGGCCGGGCAUAUUUUUCAAGCUCGCCCGGUGUGGAUAUACACUCAGAGUAACACCACAAAUAUCAUAUUCACCUGAGUACACUACACCAACAUAGAAAAAAAUUCAUAUUACUAGAAUACAUUGGUAUCGAAGGAACUAGAUUCUGUUCCGAAAUAUCACUUACUCGAACCGUCCUGACCGCGUAGCUCAGUUGGAAGAGCAUUGGGCUAGUAUUCCAAAGGUCGUAGGUUCGAAUCCCACCGUGGCCGGGCAUAUUUUUCAAGCUCGCCCGGUGUGGAUAUACACUCAGAG